rnacentral:rRNA from 1 species
GAUGAACGCUGGCGGCGUGCCUAAUACAUGCAAGUCGAGCGAACAGACGAGGAGCUUGCUCCUUUGACGUUAGCGGCGGACGGGUGAGUAACACGUGGGUAAUCUACCUAUAAGACUGGGAUAACUUCGGGAAACCGGAGCUAAAACCGGAGAAUAUUUCGAACCGCAUGGUUCGAUAGUGAAAGAUGGCUUUGCGAUCACUGAUAGAUGGACCUGCGCCGUAUUAGCUAGUUGGUAAGGUAACGGCUUACCAAGGCAACGAUACGUAGCCGACCGGAGAGGGUGAUCGGCCACACUGGAAGUGAGACACGGUCCAGAGUCCUACGGGAGGCAGCAGUAGGGAAUCUUCCGCAAUGGGCGAAAACAUGACGGAGCGACGCCGCGUGGGAGGUGGAAGUCUUCGGAUCGUAAAACUCUGUUAUUAGGGAAAAACAAACGUGUAAGUAGAUGAGCACGUCUUGACGGUACCUAAUCAAAAAGCCACGGCUAACUACGUG